rnacentral:rRNA from 1 species
GACGAACGCUGGCGGCGUGCCUAACACAUGCAAGUCGAGCGAAGUUAUUCCUUCGGGGAUAACUUAGCGGCGGACGGGUGAGUAACACGUGGGUAACCUGCCUUAUAGAGGGGGAUAGCCUUCCGAAAGGAAGAUUAAUACCGCAUAACAUCAGAUUCUCGCAUGGGAAUUUGAUCAAAGGAGCAAUCCGCUAUAAGAUGGACCCGCGGCGCAUUAGCUAGUUGGUGAGGUAACGGCUCACCAAGGCGACGAUGCGUAGCCGACCUGAGAGGGUGAUCGGCCACAUUGGGACUGAGACACGGCCCAGACUCCUACGGGAGGCAGCAGUGGGGAAUAUUGCACAAUGGGGGAAACCCUGAUGCAGCAACGCCGCGUGAGUGAUGAAGGCCUUCGGGUUGUAAAGCUCUGUCUUUGGGGACGAUAAUGACGGUACCCAAGGAGGAAGCCACGGCUAACUACGUGCCAGCCGCCGCCGUAA